UGAGGAAUAUUGGACAAUGGGCGCAAGCCUGAUCCAGCCAUGCCGCGUGCAGGAUGACGGUCCUAUGGAUUGUAAACUGCUUUUGUACAGGAAGAAACAGUUCUACGUGUAGAACCUUGACGGUACUGUAAGAAUAAGGAUCGGCUAACUCCGUGCCAGCAGCCGCGGUAAUACGGAGGAUCCAAGCGUUAUCCGGAAUCAUUGGGUUUAAAGGGUCCGUAGGCGGUUAGAUAAGUCAGUGGUGAAAGCCCAUCGCUCAACGGUGGAACGGCCAUUGAUACUGUCUGACUUGAAUUAUUAGGAAGUAACUAGAAUAUGUAGUGUAGCGGUGAAAUGCUUAGAGAUUACAUGGAAUACCAAUUGCGAAGGCAGGUUACUACUAAUGGAUUGACGCUGAUGGACGAAAGCGUGGGUAGCGAACAGGAUUAGAUACCCUGGUAGUCCCUGAGCGGGCUGGCAAGGCGCAU
rnacentral:rRNA from 1 species